GGCGGCGUACCCAAGUGGUAAGGGAGAGGUCUGCAAAACCUCGAUGCAGCGGUUCGAAUCCGCUCGCCGCCU
rnacentral:tRNA from 1 species